rnacentral:rRNA from 1 species
AGCGAACGCUGGCGGCAGGCUUAACACAUGCAAGUCGAGCGGGCACUUUCGGGUGUCAGCGGCGGACGGGUGAGUAACGCGUGGGAACGUGCCCUCUGGUUCGGAAUAACUCAGGGAAACUUGAGCUAAUACCGGAUACGCCCUUUUGGGGAAAGGCUUGCUGCCGGAGGAUCGGCCCGCGUCUGAUUAGCUUGUUGGUGAGGUAACGGCUCACCAAGGCGACGAUCAGUAGCUGGUCUGAGAGGAUGAUCAGCCACACUGGGACUGAGACACGGCCCAGACUCCUACGGGAGGCAGGAGUGGGGAAUAUUGGACAGUGGGCGCAAGCCUGAUCCAGCCAUGCCGCGUGAGUGAUGAAGGCCUUAGAGUUGUAAAGCUCUUUUAUCCGGGACGAUAAUGACGGUACCGGAGGAGUAAGCCCCGGCUAACUUCGUG